GACGAACGCUGGCGGCGUGCUUAACACAUGCAAGUCGAACGGAAAGGCCCUGCUUUUGUGGGGUGCUCGAGUGGCGAACGGGUGAUUAACACGUGAGUACCCUGCCCUUGCCUUUGGGAUAACUUCAGGAAACUGGGGCUAAUACCGGAUAGGAGCUCCUGCUGCAUGGUGGGGGUUGGAAAGUUUCGGCGGUUGGGGAUGGACUCGCGGCUUAUCAGCUUGUUGGUGGGGUAGUGGCUUACCAAGGCUUUGACGGGUAGCCGGCCUGAGAGGGUGACCGGCCACAUUGGGACUGAGAUACGGCCCAGACUCCUACGGGAGGCAGCAGUGGGGAAUAUUGCACAAUGGGCGGAAGCCUGAUGCAGCAACGCCGCGUGCGGGAUGACGGCCUUCGGGUUGUAAACCGCUUUCGCCUGUGACGAAGCGUGAGUGACGGUAAUGGGUAAAGAAGCACCGGCUAACUACGUG
rnacentral:rRNA from 1 species